ACCUAGCACCGAAGAAGUAGAACGGCUGGAGACCUUGCGGUGACUACAGAAUGCUCAACGCACGUACAAUCCCUGACCGGUAUCCGGUUCGUCACAUCCAGGACUUCGCUCACAGUCUUUCGGGAUAUGUUGAGCUAGAAGCAUUCCAGACCUGUAAAAGAUGUCUUGAAGAUGCAGCUACGCUAGCACACCCGGACUUCGAGGCUAAGUUGGCAGUAGUUACGGAUGCAUCUGACAAAGCAAUUGGUGCAGUCCUCCAGCAGCUCAAAGAAGGCUUGCGCAAACAGGUUUUUGACAGUCUCCAUUCAUUGAGUCACCCUGAAGCUAAUGCUACAGCUACUUUGGUCGCUGAAGGGUUUGUGUGGCCCGGAGUUAGGAAGCAAUGCAGAGACUGGGUUCGUUGUUGUUUAGCUUGUCAACGUUCUUAGUUUACACGUCACGUGUCUUCGCCGUUAGGUCAUUUUAAACUACCACAAUCUAGGCUCUCAUUUGUACACAUUGACCUCUUGGUCCACUAUCUAUAGCUAACGGCUAUCGCUAUUGUCUCACCGCCGUCGAUAGAUUCACACGUUGGCCUGAGGCAAUACCUUUAGUUGAUGUAUCUGCCGAA